rnacentral:ncRNA from 1 species
UAGAAAUAUGAAAUGAGAGCAGGAGAGCACUCCCCUUGGUUAGGAUGGAAGAAGCCCUAAUGAACUUAACCAUGUUUAAGACUGUCACUUACUUUUUGGCAUCUAAUGUAUAU